GAACAACUUGAGGUUCAACGGGUAAUUGUGAUACAGGCAUCGCCUUGUCUCCUAACUUCCUUUUCAAAAGAGAAACAUGGAAAACCGGAUGAAUCUUAGACCCUAUAGGCAAUGACAAUUGAUAAGCCACUAUCCCAACCUUUUUAGUAACUUGAUACGGCCCAAAGUAUCUCGCCCCAGUUUCUAAUUUAGCCUAUUUUCCACUGAAAGUUGUUUGGAUGGGUGAUGCUUUAGGAAGACCCAGUCACCUUCAGUAGAAGAUCUUUCAGUUCUAUUCUUAUCUGCAUACAUUUUCAUCCUAGCACUUGCCUGUGAGAGGUUUUCCUUCAACUGUUGGUUGAGUUUGUAUCUUUGUUGUAGUCGGUCCUCUACUGCUGCCACAUUAGAUUGUUGGUAGGGACCAAGUGCCAAGUGUGGUGGUUUGAUCCCAUAUAGAGCUUCAAAUGGUGUCAUUCUAAUUGAAGAAUGGUAGGUGGUGUUGCAUCACUAUUCAGCCAGUGAUAGCCAUUUUCCCCAUUGUUUAGGCUAUUGGUAAGUCAUACAUCUGAGAUACAUUUCAAGGCAUUGGUUGACCCUUUCUGUCUGCCCAUCUGAUUGAAGAUGAUAGGCCGUGCUAAGGUGAAGUUGUGUGCCCAGUAACCUAAACAACUCUUGCCAAAAUUAACUUGUAAAUACUUUAUCUCUAUCAGAGGUAAUGCUUCGAGGUAAGCCAUGAAGUUUAAAAAUCGAAUCCAAGAAAAUCUUGGCCACUGUUACUGCUGUAAAUGGGUGUGAGAGAGCCAAAAUAUGGCCGUACUUUGUAAAUCUAUCCACAAUCACCAGUUUAGUAUCCUUGCCCUUUGAGUUCGGUAAUCCCUCAAUGAAAUCCAAACUAAUGUGGCUCCAAGAAUGCAAAGGAACAGGUAAGGGUUGCAGUAGACCAGGGUAGGAAACAUGUUCACCUUUACAUUUUUGGCAAACCUCACAUUGUAACACCUCAGUCCUUAUCUCCUGAUUCAUUCCUGGCCAAUAAAAAUACCGUUUUGCCCUGUGUAUGCUGUUGUGUAUGCCUGAGUGUCCUCCCAAGUGGGAUCCAUGUAUGUUUUGUAUGACUUUGGAUCUGAUUUUUCCUCCUGUACCAAUGUACAUCCUGCCCUUGUAUGUCAAUAUAUUAUUGUUGUAACAGAAGUUGGGAUCAAAAUCGGGGUUGAGUAAUAAGGCUUGGAUCUUAUCUUUAGCAAACACAUCAUCA
rnacentral:lncRNA from 1 species